UCCUGCACCUUAAGUUCCAGUUGGCGGACCGGUGAGUUAACCACCGUAAGGUACUUGCUUUAGACGAAGGGAUAUAGUUGGGAAACCGACUGCUAAAGACUGGAUAGGAAGUUUUAAGGCAUCUUGAAACUUUUAAAAAGACCCCGCAAGGGUAUGCUAAAGAGAUGGGCUUGCGGCACAUUAGUUAGUUGGUAAGGUAACGGCUUACCAAGACUAUGAUGUGUAGCUGGACUGAGAGGGUUGAACGGCCACAUUGGGAUUGAGAUACGGCCCAAACUCCUACGGGAGGCAGCAGUAAGGAAUUUUCGGCAAUGGAGGAAACUCUGACCGAGCAACGCCGCGUGAACGAUGAAAUAUUUAGGUAUGUAAAGUUCUUUUAUUAAAGAAGAAAAAAUGAUGGAAAAAUCAUUCUGACGGUAUUUAAUGAAUAAGCCCCGGCUAACUAUGUGCCAGCAGCUGCGGUAAUACAUGGGGGGCAAGCGUUAUCCGGAUUUAUUGGGCGUAAAGGGUGUGUAGGCGGUUUAAUAAGUCUAUGGUAUAAGUUCAACGCUUAACGUUGUGAUGCUAUGGAAACUGUUUGACUAGAGUUGGAUAGAGGCAAGUGGAAUUCCAUGUGUAGCGGUAAAAUGCGUAAAUAUAUGGAGGAACACCAGUAGCGAAGGCGGCUUGCUGGGUCUUAACUGACGCUGAGGCACGAAAGCGUGGGGAGCAAACAGGAUUAGAUACCCUGGUAGUCCACGCCGUAAACGAUGAGUACUAAGUGUUGGGUUAAACCAGUGCUGAAGUUAACACAUUAAGUACUCCGCCUGAGUAGUACGUACGCAAGUAUGAAACUUAAAGGAAUUGACGGGACUCCGCACAAGCGGUGGAUCAUGUUGUUUAAUUCGAAGAUACACGAAAAACCUUACCAGGUCUUGACAUACUCUGCAAAGCUAUAGAAAUAUAGUGGAGGUUACCAGUGAUCCAGGUGGUGCAUGGUUGUCGUCAGCUCGUGUCGUGAGAUGUUGGGUUAACCCCGCAACGAGCGGAACCCCGAUCGCUAGUUACCAUCAUUUAGUUGGGCACUUUAGUGAGACUGCCAAUGAUAAAUUGGAGGAAGGUGGGGAUUACGUCAAAUCAUCAUGCCCCUUAUGACCUGGGCUACAAACGUGAUAC
rnacentral:misc_RNA from 1 species